GCGGUGGAGCAUGUGGUCUAAUUCGAUGGUACGCGAAGAACCUUACCGGGGUUUGACAUGCAGGUGAUCGCCGUUGAAAGACGGUUUCCUCUUCGGAGGCACCUGCACAGGUGCUGCAUGGCUGUCGUCAGCUCGUGUCGUGAGAUGUUGGGUUAAGUCCCGCAACGAGCGCAGCCCCUAUCUUUAGUUGCCAUCAUUGAGUUGGGCACUCUAAAGAGACUGCCGGUGUCAAACCGGAGGAAGGUGGGGAUGACGUCAAGUCCUCAUGGCCUUUAUGACCAGGGCUACACACGUACUACAAUGGCCGGUACAAAGGGCAGCGACACAGCGAUGUGAAGCCAAUCCCGAAAAGCCGGUCUCAGUCCGGAUUGGAGUCUGCAACUCGACUCCAUGAAGUUGGAAUCGCUAGUAAUCGCGGAUCAGCACGCCGCGGUCGAAUACGUUCCCGGGCCUU
rnacentral:rRNA from 1 species